rfam:Agrilus planipennis Contig7134, whole genome shotgun sequence.
ACUCGAGGAGGGGUUUUAGUCGGUAAGCGCUUUGGCGAAUCCGACACAUUUCCCCUUUACAGGGGGUGUCUUUUGAAAAUUUCCCCUCCUCG